UUGACAGCCCUGGAGACUGAAGCCCUGUUUAUCCAGAGGAAACACAGACCCAUUUGUAGCAUCAGUGCAGGCUUCCUCAUAGUAGCCCAACAAUGGGCCUCAUCCCUGAACUGGAAGGACUCCUGGGAGAUGAAAAUACAGUCCAAUUAGCCACGACCAUGCUGCU
rnacentral:sRNA from 1 species